rnacentral:tRNA from 2 species
GUGUGUGUAAUUUAAAAAAAAUACCAAGCUGUGACCNUUGACAAUAGGAAACACCCUCGCACACCN